CCCAAAGGCAACAGGAAGACACAUCGCAAGUGCAAAGAAGCUACAGUGUAUAUCCAGUGGUAAAACUUUGCAUAAGAAAUUACAUAUGGGACAAUAGCAAGGUGAAUGGUUGGAAAAGGAGAUGGGCCAGUCCUAUGAUGAGAGGAAGAGUUAGACAACCUAAACGCUCCACUGGUAUCUACAAAACUUAAGAAAGAAAGAAAAAGAAAAAAGAAAAAAGGAGAAGAGAAGAAAAGAAAAGGAAAGAAAAACAACAAAGAAACUAGGUGGUGCUCCCAGAACUACAAAGAACAUUUGGCACGGGCUUCUAAAUGUGAGUUAUGCAUUAUGCUGCUUCAUUAUUGGAUAUGGGAAUACCUUAAUGGGUCAAGAUCAGAAGAAUUCUCAUUGGGAAAUGAAAGUAGUGCUUAGUGGUGAGUGGAUAUUGGUUAGUGGAGUCAGGAGGCCAAGUGGAUAUUGUGUCCUUGGUACUUUUGCUUCUGUAUCAUCUUUCUGGCAUAUUGAAAUGACUAGGUCAUAAAGACUGAUACAGCCUGAGCUGAGGCCUCUGUUUUCUUUAAUUUCUCAAUGCUCAGCACAUUAGUAUUUUGUUUACUACUUUAGGUCAUUUAGAAAGGAUCAUCAUCAUUUUAUGGAGAUAUUCAUUAUGGGUACUCCCUUCAAUAAUGAUUCAGAUGCAGCACUUCUAAGCCAUAGUCUAUGUGAUUUUUGUCCAUAUUUUUCUAAAAUUCAUGAGAGAACAUCUACACAAUAUGCUAGGAGCUUUGUUCUUGUUCUUUUGGUAGCUUGGAGGCACUAGUAUUCACUUUGGGUAGCCCAAAUCCCCCCCCCCCCCAACUCAAUCAAAUGCUUUAUUAGCAUCUACCAAAAACUGAAAGCAACACUAGUUCUUGAAUUUUCUACAUAGUUUAGUUGUGAAAAUGUAAAUGUAAAAUUGUUGCUACAGAGUGCUAUAUAUAUAGAAGACUGAGUCAGGAGAAC
rnacentral:lncRNA from 1 species